rnacentral:tRNA from 1 species
GCCUUCGUGGCGUAGUGGUCAGCACGCUCGACGCGUAACCGAGAGGUCCGUGGUUCGAUUCCCGGCAAAGGCU